rnacentral:misc_RNA from 1 species
GAAAAGUGCAAUAAAUUAAGAAGUCUGUAGGGAAAAAAAUUUUAUGGUCAAGUUGACAAAAAAGAAGGCAUGAAGCUAAUAAAUUGCGAAGUCAGUUUUCUUUAUUUUGAAAACAGUUUUGUCUUUUUGUUGCUAAUUCUAAUGGCAAUAGUUGGAUCUAUGACCCAUUCAUUAUCAAUAAAAAUCAUUGUUUAGAGCCCAACUCUUCCGAUACAUUGGGCCCGCAUCCUUCUUUGUCAAGUACUUA